GACGAACGCUGGCGGCGUGCUUAACACAUGCAAGUCGAACGAUGAACCAGGGCUUGCCCUGGGGAUUAGUGGCGAACGGGUGAGUAACACGUGGGCAACCUGCCCCAGACACCGGGAUAACCUCUCGAAAGAGUGGCUAAUACCGGAUACGACCACUUUGGGCAUCCAACGGUGGUGGAAAGGAUUCUGGUCUGGGAUGGGCCCGCGGCCUAUCAGCUUGUUGGUGGGGUAAUGGCCUACCAAGGCGACGACGGGUAGCCGGCCUGAGAGGGCAACCGGCCACACUGGGACUGAGACACGGCCCAGACUCCUACGGGAGGCAGCAGUGGGGAAUAUUGCGCAAUGGGCGAAAGCCUGACGCAGCGACGCCGCGUGAGGGACGAAGGUCUUCGGAUUGUAAACCUCUUUCAGCAGGGACGAAGCGAAAGUGACUGUACCUGCAGAAGAAGCACCGGCUAACUACGUGCCAGCCGCCGCAGUAAAAC
rnacentral:rRNA from 1 species